rnacentral:lncRNA from 1 species
UCCACCGACACGGUGAUUCACGGCACCGACACCAGCGAGAAGAAGGACGUCGACAAGCUCCCUGGUGGCCAUGGGGACCACCAGCAGACUGGUGGCACCUACGGGCAGAAGGGACACACGGCCGCGGAACCGCAUGGCGCCUCAGCAACCGGCGACACCUAUGGCCAGGAGGGAAACACCAGUACGGGGACACAUGGCGCCCCUGCCACCAAUGGUGGCUACGGGAAGCACGGACACACCAGGACCACCGGGACGGGGAUGCACGGCGUCGAGACGGGUGAGAAGAAGGGUGACGUGGAGGACAUUGAUGACAAACUCCUUGGUGGCCAUGGGGACCACCAGCAAACUGCUGGCACCUACGGCCAUCAGGGACACAUCGCUACGGUGACGCAUGGCACCUCAGCCAUCGAUGACACGUAUGGGCAGCAGGGAAACACCGGUACGGGGACACAUGCCGUACCGGCCACCGAUGGUGCCUAUGGGCAGCACCGACACACCGGGGCCACCGGCACGGGGAUGCACGGCACCAACACGGGCGAGAAGAAGGACGUCAUGGAGAACAUCAAUGACAAGCUCCCUGCUAGCCAUGGGAACCACCAGCAGACAAGUGGCACCUACGGGCAGCAGGGACACACCGAUGUGGCGACGCAUGGCCCCACAGCCACCAGUGGCACCUAUGGGCAGCAAGAAAACACUGGUACGGGGACACAUGGCGCCCCUGCCAUCCAUGGUGCCUACGGGCAGCACGGACACACCGGGGCCAUUGGGGCGGGGCUGCAUGGCGCCGACACGGGAGAGAAGAAGGGCGUCAAGGAGAACAUCAAUGACAAGCUCCCUGGUGGCCACGGGGACCACCAACAGACUGGUGGCACCUACGGGCAGCAGGGACACACCGAUGCGGCGACGCAUGGCGCAUUAGCCACUGGCAACACCACUGUGCAGCAAGGAAUCAUCGGUACGGGGACACAUGGCGCCCCGGCCACCGAUGGUGCCUACGGGCAGCACGGACACACCGGAGCCACUGGCACGAGGAUGCACGGCAUCGACACCGGCGAGAAGAAGGGCAUCAUGAAGAACAUCAACGACAAGCUGCCUAGCGGCGACAAAGACCACCAGCACACCAGUGGCACUUACGGUCAGCAGGCACAAACCGGCACGGCGAUGCAUGGCGCCUCAGCCACGGGCGACACCUAUGGCGAGCAGGGACACACCGAAAUGACCGGCUGGGGGACGCACGGCAACAACGAGAAAAAGGGCGUCAUGGAGGACAUCAAGGCCAAGCUCCCCGGUGGCGACGAUGAUCGCCAGCAAACCGGUGACACCUAUGGGCAGCAGCGACACACCGACACUGCAACACAUGGCACCCUUGCCACCGGCGACACCUACGGGCAGCAGGGACACACCGGGAUAACCGACACGGGGACAUAUGGCACCGGCGAGAAGAAGGGCGCCAUGGAGAACAUCAAGGAGAAGCUCCCUGGUGGCCAUGGUGACCACCAACAGACUGGUGGCACCUACGGGAGCCAGGAAGACACCGAAAUGACUGGAAUCGGGAUGCAUAGCACCACGGCCACAGACGGCAUAGAUGGUCAGCAGGGACACACCGGAAUGACCGGCAGAGUGUCACACGACACCGACGAGAGGAAGGGUGUCAUGGAGAACCUCAAGGAGAAGCUCCCCGACGGCCAUGACGACCACCCGCAGACUGUUCGCACCGACGAGCGCCACGCCGGCACGGGGACGCAUGACACCCCGGCCACCGACGGCACCUAUGGGCAGCACGGACACACUGGAGUGACCGACACAAAGGCGUACGGCUCUGGCGGCACAGGCGAGAAGAAGAGCAUCAUGGAGAACACCAAUCAGAAGCUCCCCGGGGGCCAGAAUGACCGCCAGCAGACCGGUGACACCUACGGGCAGCAAGGACACACCGACACAGCGACGCAUGGCACCCCGUCCACCGGCGGCACCUACGGGCAGCACGGACACACCGGAGUGACCGAUAAGGGAACACAGGGCACCGACGGCAUCGACAAGAAGAAGGAUGCCAUGGAGAACAUCAAGGAGAAGCUCCCCGUUGGCCACGAUGACCACCAGCAUACUGCUGGCACCUACGGGCAGGAUGGACACACUGGAAUGACCGGCACGGAGAUGCAUGGCACCACGGCCACCGACGGUGGGCAGCAAGGACACAACGUAACAACUGGUACUGGGACACACGGCACCGACGGGGCCGGUGAGAAGAAGAGC